AGCAGCCGCGGUAAUUCCAGCUCCAAUAGCGUAUAUUAAAGUUGUUGCAGUUAAAAAGCUCGUAGUUGAAUUUCGGGAUUAGUAGGUUGGUCGUGCCUCUGGUAUGUACUCGCCUUACUGGUUCCUCCUUCUUGAAGAACUGUAAUGCCAUUAAUUUGGUGUUGCAGGGAAACAGGACUGUUACUUUGAAAAAUUAGAGUGUUUAAAGCAGGCCAAUGCCUGAAUACAUUAGCAUGGAAUAAUGAAAUAGGACGUUGAUCCUAUUUUGUUGGUUUCUAGGAUUGACGUAAUGAUUAAUAGGGAUAGUUGGGGGCAUUAGUAUUCAAUUGUCAGAGGUGAAAUUCUUGGAUUUAUUGAAGACUAACUACUGCGAAAGCAUUUGCCAAGGAUGUUUUCAUUAAUCAAGAACGAAAGUUAGGGGAUCGAAGACGAUCAGAUACCGUCGUAGUCUUAACCAUAAACCUAUGCCGACUAG
rnacentral:rRNA from 1 species